rnacentral:rRNA from 1 species
GACGAACGCUGGCGGCGUGCCUAACACAUGCAAGUCGAGCGAUGAAAUCCCUUCGGGGAUGGAUUAGCGGCGGACGGGUGAGUAACACGUGGGUAACCUGCCUCAAAGUGGGGGAUAACCUUCCGAAAGGAAGAUUAAUACCGCAUAAUAUUAGAUGUUCGCAUGAAGAACUAAUUAAAGGAGCAAUCCGCUUUGAGAUGGACCCGCGGCGCAUUAGCUAGUUGGUGAGGUAAUAGCUCACCAAGGCGACGAUGCGUAGCCGACCUGAGAGGGUGAUCGGCCACAUUGGAACUGAGACACGGUCCAGACUCCUACGGGAGGCAGCAGUGGGGAAUAUUGCACAAUGGGGGAAACCCUGAUGCAGCAACGCCGCGUGAGUGAUGAAGGUCUUCGGAUUGUAAAGCUCUGUCUUUUGGGACGAUAAUGACGGUACCAAAGGAGGAAGCCACGGCUAACUACGUGCCAGCCGCCGCAGUAAGAC